AUGGAGUUUGGGCUCAGCUGGGUUUUCCUUGUUGCUAUUUUACAAGGUGUCCAGUGUGUGGUGCAGCUGGUAGAGUCUGCGAGAGGCUUGGUCCAGCCUGGGGGGUCCCUGAGACUCUCCUGUGCAGCCUCUGGAUUCACCAUCAGUAGCUGGUACACGAGCUGGAUCCACCAGGCUCCAGGGAAGGGUCUGGAGUGGGUCUCAUACAUUUGUAGUAGUGGUUGUAACACAAACUACGCAGACUCUGUGAAGGGUAGAUUCACCAUCUCCAGAGACAACUCAAAGAACACGCUCUACCUGCAAAUGAACAGCCUGAGAGUGGGGGACACGGCCGUGUAUUACGUGCGAGAGACACAGUGA